UCCGAGUUGUCCCCGGCAGUCCUCUUAGAGUCCCCGGCAUUACCCGCUGGCAACUAAGGACAGGGGUUGCGCUCGUUGCGCCACUUAAGGCAACACCUCACGGCACGAGCUGACGACAGCUAUGCACCACCUGUGCAGGCUCCGAAGAGCACCCGCUUUCACGGGUUUCACCCUGCAUGUCAAGCCCAGGUAAGGUUCUUCGCGUUGCAUCGAAUUAAGCCGCAUGCUCCGCCGCUUGUGCGGGCCCCCGUCAAUUCCUUUGAGUUUUAACCUUGCGGCCGUACUCCCCAGGCGGUCAACUUCACGCGUUAGCUUCGGCACAGAAGGGGUUAAUACCCUCUACACCCAGCACUCAUCGUUUACAGCUAGGACUAC
rnacentral:misc_RNA from 1 species